UUGAUUCGGGUCCAGGCACCACAGAUAUCUUAUUUUCAGAGCGGAUCCGAAGAGGAUCUAUGAUCGAAUCCGGAUCUCGGAUAAUAAGUCUCAGGCCUACCCUGUGGUCAAUUCCUAUCCCCAUUUAUUCUUCUUUCUUAUAAAAAUUAAAAAUCUCUUCACUUUUAUUAUUAUUGUACUGGAGGAGGUUCGCGCUACGCGCAGGAUUUGAUGAGUCUGUUUUUACAUAAAAUAUAAUUUUGUAUAAAUUUUCUUUUAUGUUAAUUUGAGCAUGAGUAUGAUUAUGAUGUUGUAUACACCAAAUUUCAAUUAUAUAACUAAAAUGAUCGAAUUCUUAGUGUUUUUGAUGUUUUAAUCCUGAAUUGUAAGUUUUUAUAGUGUUUUAAGUUUUAAAACACUAUAAAAUACAUAAAUCAAUCGGAUUCGAUCAAAAGAGAAGGAGAUCGAGAUUUCUAAUACCAUUGUAUCCUUUUGUGAGUGUUUAUAAAAUAUUGAAGAAUGAAGUUCUCAUUUAGAGGAACUAUUUUUCAAAGUUAUUAGAAUUGUUUUGUAGAAUGUUAGUAAUUGAUAUUAUUAACAAUUGUUGUUGCUUUUUUGGCAUUUAUUUGUUUCUUUUGUGUUAUAUUUUUUGGUUAUAUUUGCUUAUAUUAUAAAUUAAUCGUAAUAAUAAGUGUAUUAAUAAGGAAAAAUAGAAAAUAAGAAGAGUCAGACAGAGCGUGUAGUUCUGAUUGCAUCGAGUCACAUCAAAUCAGCUGUGUGUAAACACUGAACCAGCCUUGAGACGGUGUCGGAAAGUGGUGAGACGUUGACCAUUCACAGUGGCUGGCAUGAGAGUCGACUGAAACAAAUCUGAAAAAGAAAGCAUAAUCAACAAACCGUUUCAAAAAAACUCAUUCAAAAGAGGUUCAAUAAAGAUCUAAAUAUAAAAGUUCUAUACUUAUGAAUGUGAACGCCCCAAUAUUUUAAAAAUACAAUAACCAUGAGAUUUAAGAACUGGAAAACCUUUGCAUCAAGGAGGAGUUUAGUCGCACCUCAAUGGUGGAAGAACAUCGGCCAUCUGAAGAACAGAUGAGUUAGCCAGCCAUUAUACUGCAAAAACGUUUUUGAUUAUCACAGGGGAUGAUGUUCAAUUGGGGAUGAUGUUCAAGAGAUGAAAGCUUACCUUUUUAUAGGUGGAGAAACACUGAUAAAAGAGGGAUACACAGCAUUGAAUGAGACUGUGACACCCGAUUUGCAUAAUAAUAAUAAUAAUAAUAAUAAUACGAUAAAUAAUAAUAUCUGAAAUUUCCAUUUAUAAAUACUUAAAAGUCAACAUCCAUGCUGGAAAUCCAUAAUAUAAAAUAACAUCCGAAAUAUAAAUAACGACAUAAGUCCGAAAUAUAAAGACAACAUAAAUCCGAAAGUCUGAAAUAGGAAAUAACAUAACGAUAAAAGUCCAAAGGCCUAAAAGCCCAAUAACGAUAAAAGAGAUAGAAGCGAUAGUAGCCCAAAAUCCCAAUAGCACCGGUCCGAUAAUCACUUCUGCUCGUCGGUCACACCUGAAAGGGGAAACAAAAGGAGGGGUGGGCAACAUGGGAGUUGCCCAACAAGGUAUGAGAUGCCCCACAAACCACUGACUCAGUUCAUAGCACUACAACUAUGUAGGCCUAGCUCUAGCAUGAAACAAACACGGUGUCUAACACACCACACAGAACAAUCAUAUGCCUAUUGCACCAUACAACGACAAACAAUGCGAUGAUAGUACAUAUGUAUUCUUUGCACCCCGCAUUUUCCUCAUAAGGAUAUACGUAUAUAACUCAGUAGUCCACUCUGUACCCCCACAAUCCAAAAGGCGUUGUUAGUACAAACAUCUUUAUACCCCGCAAUCUCCACAAACAAGGCAUAGCUAGUACAGACGUCAUGUGCCCCCGCAAUCCACAAACAUAGGCAGCCAGUACAGACGUAUCUGUACCCCGCAAUCCACCACAAAUGGACUCGCAUAUAUAUACAUAUAUAUAAUCGUUCUUAACAUCAAUCAUUUCACACAAUUGUUGAAUCCUCUAUUAUCCUAUUUCCGAUUUAAUAGUCAAUAAUAAUAAUAAAAAAAGACUCUCAAACAGACUCGAUUCACAGAGACGGGUCAUGUUUCAAAACUAAAUUUUCCAUAACGGUAGUACUAAAAUAGUUCGGUAUUUAAACGGAGAAGCCCUCACCUUAGCAACAAGAAGACGUGGUCUCUAUGAACUCCUGAUGCUCAAAUAGACUCCAAAUCUGAAAUCAGGGCAAAAAAUCGAGCCAGAACGCCUUUCGAACGGUUUAAAACGGGUCUGCUCAAGAUUUAUAGAAUAGUCAACUCGCUGGUCAAAGAUCAAUUUGGUCAACCCUUGACCAGAAAUCAAUUUUUCCUAACCGGCCUGUUUACCUUAACCGAACCGAAAUCAAUUUAAAACCGGUCAAACCAACCGGUUGACCGUGUUGACUCACCGGGUCGACUCGGCUGGGUUGGCGAGUCGCCCGCGAGUCACCGGCGCUGGUCAUCGGUGACGACUGCGAAGGGUGAUACCACUCAAAUUACCUUAAGGAGUGAUUUAUACUCUCUCAAAUAAGAGGUCGAGUUGUAGUACUUAGGGAUCAAAUUUACAUGGAGGUAGGGAACCUAGAGAUUUUAAUAUGAUUUGUUAAGAAAGAUGUUUUUAAUAGUUUUGAAAGUAAAUUGCAGUUUUAUAUUGAACAAGUAUUUGUUCAAUAGCAAGUUUUGGGGUUUUGGUGCUUAAAAAGGAAAUAGCUAGACUUAGGAUUUUUAUUCAGGUAAGUUGGAAUUAUAAUCCUGUAGAUGCCUAAUGAGUUGCAUGCAUGAUAACGUAAAGCUCAACUAUUUGAUCAACAAGUCUUUCGGCCUUUGCGAGCAUUGACUUGUUGACUAUUAACUAGAUCUAUGAUCUAACUCUCAUUACAUUGAUCUAUAGAAAGUGUCGAUCGAUAUUCCAAUGGGCGUAUCGAUCGAUACACCUAUUGCACCGCCGAUCGAUUAUUCAAGUAUGAUAUCAAUCGACGCACUCUAGUCAAGCUUUCUGCGCAGGUUGAAUGAAUGCUUACUAAGCUCACUAGAUCAGCUCUCGCCUUGCUCAUAGCAAAAAAAAAGUUCAAUUAGAAUGUUUUCAGGAUGAGAAUUAGCUAUGGCUUUUAUCAAUCAAUCCUAGGGCAAGUUCUAGGUAGCUAAUCUAGACACAUGCAUUAAUGAACAAUUCUAAAGAUGAUUAUCACAACUCAGCAUUCUAUAGUUGGGGCUAAUCUCUCCUAACCUAUUUAAACCCUAAAAUCUAACAAGAGAACUACUCAGACUUGGCUAAUCAAUUCAUAACAAUAGUUAAGUAUAAAAACUUCAUAGAAUAAAUAAGAUAAAUAUCAAUGGAGCAAUCACAAAUUAUAACUUUGGAUCUUCGCUCAUAUCUAUCAAUAAAACAAUGAAACACAAAGAAAGCACACUUUGCCUCUAACAUGGCAGCAAAGCUUAGAUAAUUAGGGUAAAACACGUCAGGGGCAAUCUUGUAAAAUAGUGAAAUCUUGGGCUUCAAGUCGGCUGUGACCAAACAGGUUUAUGCGUGCUUUGCUAUCGAUCAACACCAUUACUUGUGUAUCAAUCGAUUCUAGCUCUCCAAUAUCGACCGAUUGUCGAUAUCGAUGGUCAUCUCGGGUGCUUGCUCCAAAUAUCUCUAAAAUGCUCCAAAAUCAUCACUUAUCUCCAAAACAUUCCUGAUCUUAUAAAUAUAAUAAAUAGACUUUACAAUAAUAUAAAUAUUAGUAACACCUAUAAACUUUGAAUGAAAACGGGUCAAAUCCAUAGUCUAUCAAAGGGUGGUGGCUUACCGGAAGAGUCACCGGUGACAGCGAUGCGGCGGCGUGGCAAUGCGGCGGCGGCUUCCCAGCGUUGGACUGACGGCGGCCGAGCACGACGGCUCUGGCAAACGGCGGUCGGAGACGGCGGCGCGCGCGUGAUCUUCCAGAGGCGCGUGAGGGCUCGUCCGGACUCCGAUUGCAGCGCGGUUGGUGUCUAUGGCUUUGUCUCGACGAGAGGAACACGAUGAUGGUCUUGAAUGCACGACAUUUUCAACAGUUAGGAAGUUCUGUUUGAUUUACUAAAACGGUCGAAACUGAACUAAAUGCAUGGCGUUUUGCGGUGGUUACCUAGGGGUGCGAAUGGUGGGGACGAGUUCAGCGCGGUCACGGUGUGUGGUGGCUCCUGUGAAGAUCUCAGAACUCUACAAUUCAACUUUCCCAUUUCUCUUAACUCUCUCUUCUGUUUUCCAAUUUUUUGAUGUUUUGGAGAAAACAAAGUGGAUAGAGGUAAUUUUUAUAGAAAAAUACCAUGGGCUUCUGGGAAUGGAUUUGAGCCUCGACCUGAAUUCUUUGGGCCAGAAUUUGGGUCAUUACAGAGACAUCUGCUUGAUUUUCGUUGAUGGAGUUAAGAGGUUUCUUAAAGCCGAUGAAUCAAGACAUCGUAACGUCUUCGAGGGUAAGAACGAAAAACGAAAAACGUUUCAUCUCAAUCGACAUUCAGAGACUCCGGCUUUGGUUUAGAUCAUCACAAAACACAGAUUGAAGAAGACGAUUGGUGAGAUCGUGAAGCAGAUCGUCUCUCCCAAUCAGAUUGGGUUACAAAACUAAAUAAGAAAAUAUGAGUCCAAUAAGCCCAUAAAUAAUCAAAACCAUAAAGAAUCAAAACAAAGCGACCAAUACACAAUAAGACAUUAAUGAAACGGUGAGUUUUGUUUCAGGGGACAGGUGUCGGCAUUUCUUCUCUCUAUUUAGUGACAUGGCAGCCUAGGAGAAGAGAGACACUCCUCUUUAUAAUAAUAGAGAAAUAAUAUAAAAGGCACUGUGGUCGAUUCAUGUCCCCACUUAUUCUUAUUUUUUAAAAUAAAAUCUUUUCACUUUUAUUAUUCUUGUAUAAUAUAAAAGGCAAUGUGGUCGAUUCAUGUCCCUACUUAUUCUUCUUUCUUAUAAAAGUUAAAAGGCUCUUCACUUUUAUUAUUUUUGUAUAGGAAAAUUAGAAGCAAUAACCCUAAAAUUAAUUAAGAAAGUAAAAACAUAAUUAAUACGGGAAACCCUAAUGGGAUUCUUAAUAAAUAUUUAACUAAUAAACUUAAGUUAAGAACUUUUGUUAAAAAAAAUAAUAAUAAUCUGAGUGCUCCAAUGGUAGAACUUAAUUUAGGGUUCUUAAAAAAAAUUAUAAAACAUUGUUUUAUUAAAGAUGAAAUUUAUUUAUUAAAUAAAACAUAGUCAAAGAUAACAUUUAAAAUAUAGAUUUUAAAAUAAAAACAUUAAAACAUAGAUUAGUAAAAUAAAAGAUAAUAAUUUCAAAGAAACAUCCAAGCUCAGUUGUUAUGUUGAUCACGUCCAAAUUUACGCCAUAUAUGUUCAACCAAAUCAGCUUUCAGUUGUUGAUGAACUUGUCUAUCACGAAUUCUAGUUCGAACACUCAUCAUAUUAGCGAUAUUUGUAGGGAUAUCUGUAGAAUACGUGAGAUCCACAUGUAAACUUUUGUUUUCUUCUCUUUGUUGGAACUCUGAAACAUCAAAUUGAUUGUAUCCAUCUCGUUCGUCUUCUACUAUUAUAUUAUGGAUCUUCUACUAUUAUAUUAUGGAGUAUAUAAUACAUGAUCUCAUAAUUUUGCCAAUUUUGACAUUAUUCUAAAAAAGUGUUGGAUUUUUAACAAUGGCAAAUCGAGCUUGCAAGACUCCAAAAGCACGCUCGACAUCUUUUUGGGCAGCUUCUUGAUGUUGAGCAAAUAAAACUGCUUUCAGCCCUUGGGGAAUUGAAAUAGAUUGGAUAAAAGUUUCCUAUUUUGGAGAAAUACCAUCGGGUGAGAUAGUAAGCGAAAUGAUACUCUCUUCCAUUGACAGAGAAAGUCACUUGCUGAGCUUGACCUUUAAUUAUAUCAUCAAAAAUAGAGAAGCGAUCAAGAAUAUUGAUAUCAUUUAAUGUACCUGGAGGUUCAAAAACACAUGACAUAUCCAUAGGUCAUAUGAAGCAAGCACCUCUAAAGCGAUUGUGAGUUUUCCUGAACCACGUGAAUAUUGACAUUUCCAAGCGGUGGGACAAUUCUUCCACUCCCAAUGCAUACAAUCGAUGCUUCCAAUUAUCCCGGGAAAUCCACGAUGCUCUCCAAUAUCAAGUAGACGUUGAAGAUCAGUCGGUGUUGAUCUUCUUAGGUACUCAUCACCAAAUAACUAUAUUAUUACUAUAUUAUUCCUUCCACAAAAUUUUCCAAACAUGACCGAGUAGUAGUUGUAUCGAGCCGGAGGUAUUCGUCAACCGUAUCAGCCGCAAUACCAUAUGCCAAAACACGAAUAGCUAUUGUACACUUUUGAAGUGUAUAGAGACCAAACCUUCCAAGACCAUCUUUCUUUUGUCGAAAGAAUUGAACUUCAUUGGAGAGUCGAUCAACAAUAUGCAUGAACAAUGGCUUGUUCAUUCUAAAUUAUCGUCAGAAUAAAUACAUAGUUUACACAAGAAUACAAGACUUCAAUUCAGUCUGUGAUUCUUCCACUCCCAAUGCUCCACUCUUUCACUCUUUCAAGACCAGAAAGUAAUGACACACGACAAGGCAUCAGAACAAGAAAGCGUUUACAUAAAAUAAAGAGUAGCCAUAGUUAAAA